rnacentral:lncRNA from 1 species
AGUGGCACCUCUACUGUCUCUAGAUUCGAUUCUCCAAUCAAAUCCAAUUUUAUGUGUGUUGGUCCUUCCACCUCAUGAACUUCAUUAAGUUCAAUUUUACAAACAUUAUCUCCUUCACCAAGAAACUUUUUUUCCAAAAAGAUUGUCCGGCUACUGCCAAACAUCUUUUGUUUUGCAGCAAGGUAGAUAUAGUAUCCUUUAGUUUUCUUUGGAUAUUUUACGAACAAGCAUCUGUCGGACUUUGAUCCAAGCUUAUCUGUCUUUAAAUGCUUGACAUAAGCUGGACACCCCCAGACCCUAAGGUGUGAGAGC